CUUUCGGGAAAACCGGAGCUAAUACCGGAUAAUAUAAAGAACCUCCUGGUUCUUUAUUUGAAAGAUGGUUUCGGCUAUCACUUACAGAUGGGCCCGCGGCGCAUUAGCUAGUUUGGUGAGGUAAUGGCUCACCAAGGCGACGAUGCGUAGCCGACCUGAGAGGGUGAUCGGCCACACUGGGACUGAGACACGGCCCAGACUCCUACGGGAGGCAGCAGUAGGGAAUCUUCCACAAUGGACGAAAGUCUGAUGGAGCAACGCCGCGUGAGCGAUGAAGGCCUUCGGGUCGUAAAGCUCUGUUGUUAGGGAAGAACAAGUGCGAGAGUAACUGCUCGCACCUUGACGGUACCUAACCAGAAAGCCACGGCUAACUACGUGCCAGCAGCCGCGGUAAUACGUAGGUGGCAAGCGUUGUCCGGAAUUAUUGGGCGUAAAGCGCGCGCAGGUGGUCCUUUAAGUCUGAUGUGAAAGCCCACGGCUCAACCGUGGAGGGUCAUUGGAAA
rnacentral:rRNA from 1 species